rnacentral:rRNA from 1 species
UCCUACGGGGGGCAGCAGUAGGGAAUAUUGGUCAAUGGAGGCAACUCUGAACCAGCCAUGCCGCGUGCAGGACUAAGGCCCUAUGGGUCGUAAACUGCUUUUGAAUGGGAAGAAAUGUAUCUACGUGUAGAUAUUUGACGGUACCAUUAGAAUAAGGAUCGGCUAACUUCGUGCCAGCAGCCGCGGUAAUACGAAGGAUCCAAGCGCUGUCCGGAUUUACUGGGUUUAAAGGGUGCGUAGGCGGACUCAUAAGUCAGUGGUGAAAGCCUUCAGCUUAACUGAAGAACUGCCAUUGAAACUGUGAGUCUCGAGUUCGGUUGAGGUCAUUGGAAUGUAACAUGUAGCGGUGAAAUGCAUAGAUAUGUUACAGAACACCAAUUGCGAAGGCAGAUGACUAAACCGAAACUGACGCUGAGGCACGAAAGCGUGGGGAUCAAACAGGAUUAGAUACCCCUGUAGUCC